AAUGACUUUGAUGUCAAUAAAACAGAAUCUUUUUUAACUGAAGAAUGGAUGACUCUCGAUGUCUGAAGGUGGAGUAUGGAAGCAUGAAUUUGCUCACAGGUCUCAUCCUCUCCCAGCAGCUACCCAGGAACAUCUGCUCUAAAGAGGAAAGAGGCACAGAUUCAUCAGCCUAGAUCCAAGGAAGGAUGUGGGCUUUGCUUUCUCCAUUUCUACACACCCAGGCCUUCGAGGGGAGCCCAGAGUCCUGGGCAGGUACCUGCAUCUGUACAGUGCCAGCAGAAGG
rnacentral:lncRNA from 1 species